UUCUGAGUAAUAAUCUCGUGUAAUUAAAAAAAAAAAUCGUCUCAAGGUGCAUGCUUGUUAAUUUCCGGUUGGAUUAGACAAUUAGCUGCUUGCAAUUAGAGGCCAAAAGGAGAAAUUAAAAAAUAAUUGCUUCAAAAGUUACUUCUUGACUUCUGUAUUAAGUAUUGACAGCUAGUUGUGCAUAAUCAACACGCAUCGCUUGGACCUGCUUCUUUUUAAUUGCUGGCCAAAUUGAGCAUGGUUCAUCAUUAUUCAAAAUCUUAACAUCUCAAUCUCAGAUUAUAUUGUACAAUUAUAGUCAAACCCUAAAAAAUUCAAAAUAAAAAAAAUUAAGAAAAAGAACCUUAGGAACCAAAUUGCGCCAGAUGGCUUCUUUUCCAACUACCUUUACCUGUUCUUCUAAAUCCUAUUAAAAUAAUAAUUUGGGCUGUCUCUAUGUCUCCAACUUUCUGUCUGCUCAAUAUUAAUUUACAAAUGGGUAUUUUUAAUGGUUUUUUUUCCCCUUCAUUUACCAACACAACACAUUUGAAAAUUCAAGAUAAUAAAAAAUAUAUCUCAGUCAAAGUUUGAGGCUCCAUUAUU
rnacentral:lncRNA from 1 species